GUCUAAGUAUAAGCAACUAUACGGUGAAACUGCGAAUGGCUCAUUAAAUCAGUUAUCGUUUAUUUGAUAGUACCUUACUACUUGGAUAACCGUGGUAAUUCUAGAGCUAAUACAUGCUAAAAACCCCGACUUCGGAAGGGGUGUAUUUAUUAGAUAAAAAACCAACGCCCUUCGGGGCUCCUUGGUGAUUCAUAAUAACUUAACGAAUCGCAUGGCCUUGCGCCGGCGAUGGUUCAUUCAAAUUUCUGCCCUAUCAACUUUCGAUGGUAGGAUAGUGGCCUACCAUGGUAUCAACGGGUAACGGGGAAUUAGGGUUCUAUUCCGGAGAGGGAGCCUGAGAAACGGCUACCACAUCCAAGGAAGGCAGCAGGCGCGCAAAUUACCCAAUCCCGACACGGGGAGGUAGUGACAAUAAAUACUGAUACAGGGCUCUUUUGGGUCUUGUAAUUGGAAUGAGUACAAUUUAAAUCCCUUAACGAGGAACAAUUGGAGGGCAAGU
rnacentral:rRNA from 1 species